CUUCCAGACUCCUACGGGAGGCAGCAGUGGGGAAUAUUGCACAAUGGGGGAAACCCUGAUGCAGCGACGCCGCGUGAGCGAUGAAGUCUUUCGGUAUGUAAAGCUCUAUCAGCAGGGAAGAAAAUGACGGUACCUGACUAGAAGCCCCGGCUAACUACGUGCCAGCAGCCGCGGUAAUACGUAGGGGGCAAGCGUUAUCCGGAUUUACUGGGUGUAAAGGGAGCGUAGACGGCAUGGCAAGCCAGAUGUGAAAUACCGGGGCUCAACCCCGGGACUGCAUUUGGAACUGUUAAGCUGGAGUGUCGGAGAGGCAGGCGGAAUUCCUAGUGUAGCGGUGAAAUGCGUAGAUAUCUGGAGGAACAUCAGUGGCGAAGGCGACUAUCUGGCACAUAACUGACGCUGAGGAGCGAAAGCGUGGGUAGCAAACAGGAUUAGAUACCCUGGUA
rnacentral:rRNA from 1 species